rnacentral:rRNA from 1 species
GUGGGGAAUCUUCCGCAAUGGACGAAAGUCUGACGGAGCAACGCCGCGUGAGUGAAGAAGGUUUUCGGAUCGUAAAGCUCUUUCGUUAGGGACGAACGUGCUCUUUGUGAAUAAUGAGGAGUAAUGACGGUACCUAAAUAAGAAGCCACGGCUAACUACGUGCCAGCAGCCGCGGUAAUACGUAGGUGGCAAGCGUUGUCCGGAAUUAUUGGGCGUAAAGCGCGCGCAGGCGGGAUAUCAAGUCUGUCUUAAAAGUGCGAGGCUCAACCUCGUGAGGGGACAGAAACUGGAAUUCUUGAGUGUCGGAGAGGAAAGUGGAAUUCCAAGUGUAGCGGUGAAAUGCGUAGAGAUUUGGAAGAACACCAGUGGCGAAGGCGACUUUCUGGACGAUGUCUGACGCUGAGGCGCGAAAGCUAGGGGAGCGAACGGGAUUAGAUACCCCGGUAGUCC